UUCAAGGUCAACCACAAAGUCAGGUAGAAAGGGAGAUUAGGAAAUAAAAGGAGGUACGAAAGACAAAGGUAGUUUAGCACAGCAGUCUGGAGAAUUAUAGGCUCUUUCUGAGAUCAGACAUGUGGGGAAAAGCACAGUCCAACACUACCAGGGCACCUGAAGUAAAAGAGGAAAGAGGUCUUAGAACACUCAAGGGCCAGAUGGAAAAGGCCACUUACCUUUAUUGAAGAUGUGAGACCUUCCAAGGGCCUUAACACCUCUACGCAAUCAAGGACAGGGCCUCACACAAAAAGGAAAGAACCGGGGCAAGCUAAUAGACCUAGAGAGAUUUGUGGACACUGGGAUAAAUUAUGUAAGAUGUGACUAUUCUUUACUGCUCAGGAUGAUGAGCACUUGGACAUCCAGAAAAAUUUUCAGAAAAUGAGCAGUGGCAGCAGAUCGUGUGAUGAACUCUGGGAACAAAAAUUAAUUGUAAU